AAAGAAACCAACCGGGAUUGCCUCAGUAACGGCGAGUGAAGCGGCAAGAGCUCAAAUUUGAAAGCUGGCUCCUUCGGGGUCCGCAUUGUAAUUUGCAGAGGAUGCUUCGGGUGCAGCCCCCGUCUAAGUGCCCUGGAACGGGCCGUCAUAGAGGGUGAGAAUCCCGUAUGGGGCGGGGUGUCUGCGUCCGUGUGAAGCUCCUUCGACGAGUCGAGUUGUUUGGGAAUGCAGCUCUAAAUGGGUGGUAAAUUUCAUCUAAAGCUAAAUACUGGCCGGAGACCGAUAGCGCACAAGUAGAGUGAUCGAAAGAUGAAAAGCACUUUGAAAAGAGAGUUAAACAGCACGUGAAAUUGUUGAAAGGGAAGCGCUUGCAACCAGACUCGCUCGCGGGGUUCAGCCGGGCUUCGGCCCGGUGUACUUCCCCGUGGGCGGGCCAGCGUCGGUUUGGGCGGCCGGUCAAAGGCCUCCGGAAUGUAGCGCCCUUCGGGGCGCCUUAUAGCCGGGGGUGCAAUGCGGCCAGCCUGGACCGAGGAACGCGCUUCGGCACGGACGCUGGCAUAAUGGUUGUAAACGAC
rnacentral:rRNA from 1 species